CCCAGACUCCUACGGGAGGCAGCAGUGAGGAAUAUUGGUCAAUGGGCUUACGCCUGAACCAGCCAAGUCGCGUGAGGGAAGACUGCCCUAUGGGUUGUAAACCUCUUUUGUCAGGGAGCAACGCCGGCUACGUGUAGCCGGACUGAGAGUACCUGAAGAAAAAGCAUCGGCUAACUCCGUGCCAGCAGCCGCGGUAAUGCGGAGGAUGCGAGCGUUAUCCGGAUUUAUUGGGUUUAAAGGGUGCGUAGGUGGUUAAUUAAGUCAGCGGUGAAAGUUUGUGGCUCAACCAUAAAAUUGCCGUUGAAACUGGUUGACUUGAGUAUAUUUGAGGUAGGCGGAAUGCGUGGUGUAGCGGUGAAAUGCAUAGAUAUCACGCAGAACUCCGAUUGCGAAGGCAGCAUACCGGCGCCCAACUGACGCUGAAGCACGAAAGCGUGGGUAUCGAACAGGAUUAGAUACCCCUGUA
rnacentral:rRNA from 1 species